AAUCAACGCUGGCGGCGUGCCUCAGACAUGCAAGUCGAACGAUUAAACUUUCCUUCGGGAAAGAUAUAAAGUGGCGCACUGGUGAGUAACACGUAAGUAAUCUACCUUCGAGUGGGGAAUAACGUCCGGAAACGGACGCUAAUACCGCAUAAUGCAGCGGCACCUAAUGGUGACAGUUGUUAAAGAUUUAUCGCUUGAAGAGGAGCUUGCGGCAGAUUAGCUAGUUGGUAAGGUAAUGGCUUACCAAGGCUACGAUCUGUAACCGGUCUAAGAGGACGGUCGGUCACACUGACACUGAAUAACGGGUCAGACUCCUACGGGAGGCAGCAGUCGGGAAUUUUGGGCAAUGGGCGAAAGCCUGACCCAGCAACGCCGCGUGAAGGAUGAAGUAUUUCGGUAUGUAAACUUCGAAAGAAUGGGAAGAAUCAAUGACGGUACCAUUUAUAAGGUCCGGCUAACUACGUGCCAGCAGCCGCCGUAAAAC
rnacentral:rRNA from 1 species